rnacentral:lncRNA from 1 species
GCAACUUUGAUCGGUGAUCAUUAAUUGGGAGCUACUCACAUAGAUUGAAUCUAUAUCGAGUUAAUGACAUAUCCCUCCCACCAAUCUCACUUACCUGGCUAAUAUGGUGAAUCAUAUUUUGAUUAGAUCACUUAAUGAUUGAGAUUGACCCAUGCUAACUAAAAAAUCAGUAUGACUGAUUUAGGUGCUCCUAGUUCAACUUCUCUUGAGUGCUCUUCAUGACUUGAUAAAAUCAGUGGAAGGAUUUAUGACUGGUUGGUCGGACCAGCUUAUAUCUGAUCUUCUUUAAUCUGACUUGGUGAAGUCAGUGAGAGGAUUAAGAUUAACUGAAUAAGUCUUUUCUUAUCUCUCAAUUCAACUAAUUAAAUCCUCUAAAAUUGUUAGGUCUCUAAAAAUAAAAUAGUUAUGGUGAUAACUAGAUCAUAGCCUCCCAUUAAGUUGGGUGAUAAUGAGUCCAACAGUUUAGAUGAUCACUGGAGGUGCCACACGCCUGGUGCUCAUCUGGCUGUCAGAAUUAUCAUUCAUAAUAUGUUGAUUUAGUUGUAUCUUUCUAAUGAUGGUCAAGUUGGUCGAGCCACAUUCAGAUCUAAUCACUCAUUUGUUAGAUAUACUAAAUUAUGGUAUGUUAAUAGUUGAACCUAACUAGAACUUUUAGUAGAGGCACCACACGACAACUGAAGAGGUGUCUAGGGCAAAAUUGAAUG